rnacentral:rRNA from 1 species
AGCAGUCGCCGCGGGAAUACGUAGGUGGCAAGCGUUGUCCGGAAUUAUUGGGCGUGAAGCGCGCGCAGGUGGUUUAAUAAGUCUGAUGUGAAAGCCCACGGCUCAGCCGUGGAGGGUCAUUGGAAACUGUUAAACUUGAGUGCAGGAGAGAAAAGUGGAAUUCCUAGUGUAGCGGUGAAACGCGUAGAGAUUAGGAGGAACAGCAAUGGCGAAGGCGGCUUUUUGGCCUGUAACUGACACUGAGGCGCGAAAGCGUGGGGAGCAAACAGGAUUAGAUACCCCCGUAGUCCCUGUCUCUUAUAC